rnacentral:rRNA from 1 species
UACGUAGGGGGCAAGCGUUGUCCGGAAUCAUUGGGCGUAAAGCGCGUGUAGGCGGCCUUGUAAGUCCGUUCUGAAAGCCCGGGGCUCAACCCCGGGAGGCGGAUGGAUACUGCAAGGCUCGAGUACGGUAGAGGCGAGUGGAAUUCCCGGUGUAGCGGUGAAAUGCGCAGAUAUCAGGAGGAACACCAAUGGCGAAGGCAGCUCGCUGGGACGUGACUGACGCUGAGACGCGAAAGCGUGGGGAGCAAACAGG